rnacentral:rRNA from 1 species
GACAGAGGUCCCGAGCGUUAGGCGGAAUCAGUCGUGGGCUUAAAGCGGUGUGUAGGCGGAUCGUUAAAGUACCUUGUGAAAUCCCACGGCUUAACCGUAGGAACUGCUUGGUAUACGUGGCGAUCUUGAGCCACUUAGGGGCAACCGGGAACAAACGGUGGAGCGGUGAAAUGCGUAGAUAUCGUUGGAACGCCAAUGGUGAAACAGCUCGCUGGGAAUGAUCUGACGCUGAGACGCGAAAGCCAGGGGAGGCGAACGGG